AUACGCACCCCGCCUGGGAAGUACGCUCGCAAGAGGGAAACUCAAAGGAAUUGACGGGGACCCGAACAAGUAGCGGAGCAUGUGGUUUAAUUCGAAGCAACGCGAAGCACCUUACCUAAGCUUGACAUCCCAAGGACAUCUCCUUAAUCGGAGAGUUCCCUUCGGGGACAUUGGUGACAGGUGGUGCAUGGUUGUCGUCAGCUCGUGUCGUGAGAUGUUGGGUUAAGUCCCGCAACGAGCGCAACCCUUGUCUUUAGUUGCCAUCAUUAAGUUGGGCACUCUAGAGAGACUGCCAGGGAUAACCUGGAGGAAGGUGGGGAUGACGUCAAAUCAUCAUGCC
rnacentral:rRNA from 1 species